GAUGGCGGCGGCGGCCACCUCAGCGGCUACCACUAUCCCUAAACCCUCUGCUCACCUUUCUUCUUCCUCCAGAUCUUCAAUCUCCAUUUCCAGAUUCACCCUCCCAUUGUCUCUCAACCCCCAAAAGACCAUUCCCCACCGCUCUCUCCACAUCUCAAACGCCGUAUCUAAACCUACCACCCCUGCCCCCUCCUCCUCCUUCUCCUCCUCCUCCUCCACCUCCACCACCA
rnacentral:misc_RNA from 1 species